AGAGUUUGAUCAUGGCUCAGGAUAAACGCUGGCGGCGCACAUAAGACAUGCAAGUCGAACGGAAGUCGUUGUAAUGAAAUGGAAAUGGACAGAGAACUUGUUCGAAGAAAGUUGAAGUAGACUUACAACAAUGGCUUUAGUGGCGGACUGGUGAGUAACGCGUAAGGAACCUGCCUUUUAGAGGGGAAUAACAAUGAGAAAUCAUUGCUAAUACCGCAUAUGCCGAGAGAAUCACAUGGUACAAUCGGGAAAGGAGCAAUUCGCUAAAAGAUGGCCUUGCGUCUGAUUAGAUAGUUGGUGGGGUAACGGCCUACCAAGUCGACGAUCAGUAGCCGGACUGAGAGGUUGAACGGCCACAUUGGGACUGAGAUACGGCCCAGACUCCUACGGGAGGCAGCAGUCGGGAAUAUUGCGCAAUGGAGGAAACUCUGACGCAGUGACGCCGCGUAUAGGAAGAAGGUUUUCGGAUUGUAAACUAUUGUCGUUAGGGAAGAGAAAGGACAGUACCUAAGGAGGAAGCUCCGGCUAACUACGUGCCAGCAGCCGCGGUAAUACGUAGGGAGCGAGCGUUAUCCGGAAUUAUUGGGUGUAAAGGGUGCGUAA
rnacentral:rRNA from 1 species